rnacentral:misc_RNA from 1 species
UCCUUUUCUUUGCUUGAAGCAUCGAAAGAACACAGUUCUUGUUUGUUUGUUUGGUUAAAGAAAAAUGCCGGGCAAGUACAAGCAUGGACCAAUCCGCGUUCAAACAAACAGAAAAACAAAAACGUCAAAAGGCGAACGAAAAGCAAAAACCGCUCAAGAAUUCUUUCGAUCACAACAAUCCAUUGUUGCAGUAAAAUCUUUGAC